UGGGGUAUAGCUCAGGGAUAGAGUGUGUGCCUAGCAUGAACAAGGUCCUGGGUUCAAUCCCCAGUACCUCCA
rnacentral:tRNA from 1 species